rnacentral:miRNA from 1 species
AGUGGGAUAGCUGGGUCAUAUGGUGAUUCCAUUCCUAGUUUUUUGAGUAAUCUCCAUACUGCUUUCCAGAGUGGUUGCAGUAGUUUGCAGUCCUAUCAACAAU